rnacentral:rRNA from 1 species
AGGACGUCUCCCGGCCCUCUCCCGUCCGCGGGUGGGGCGCCCGCCGGAGGAUAACCAAACUCUGAUUUAACGACGUUUCUUCUGAGUGACACAAGCAAAUAAUCAAAACUUUUAACAACGGAUCUCUUGGUUCUGGCAUCGAUGAAGAACGCAGCGAAAUGCGAUAAGUAAUGUGAAUUGCAGAAUUCAGUGAAUCAUCGAAUCUUUGAACGCACAUUGCGCCCGCCAGCAUUCUGGCGGGCAUGCCUGUUCGAGCGUCAUUUCAACCCUCAAGCUCUGCUUGGUGUUGGGGCUCUACGGUUGACGUAGGCCCUUAAAGGUAGUGGCGGACCCUCUCGGAGCCUCCUUUGCGUAGUAACAUUUCGUCUCGCAUUGGGAUUCGGAGGGACUCUAGCCGUAAAACCCCCAAUUUUACUAAGGUUGACCUCGGAUCAGGUAGGAAUACCCGCUGAACUUAAGCAUAUCA